UGCUCACUUUGGCAGCAACAUACUAAAACUGGAAUGAUACCGAAAAGCUUAGUAGGAUCCUUGCACAAGGAUGACACAAAUUUGAAAUGUUCCAAAUUUUU
rnacentral:snRNA from 1 species